GGAUGUGAGGGUGAUCUGGCUGUGACAUCUGUCACCCCAUUGAUCGCCAGGGUUGAUUCAGCUGAUCUGGCUGGCUAGGCGGGUGUCCCUUUCCUCCCUCAACGAUUCAUGUAUGUCCCUCCCGAAGCUGCGCACUCAGUCAAAGAGGACGACCACUCCCGAAAGAGGAGGACCGUUGCUCGGUCAAGGGUAUAUGAGUAGCUGCGCUCCCCUGCUAGAACCUCCAAACAAGCUCUCAAAUCCAGGACUCCCCACUGCCAUGGAGAGAGAGGAUAAGGGUCCUCUCUCUCUGCCUCCUCCCACUGCAUCCUAAGUGGCUGAGAUGCUGAGAUGAGGUG
rnacentral:snRNA from 1 species